AGGGUUCGAUUAUGGCUCAGGAUGAACGCUAGCGGCAGGCUUAACACAUGCAAGUCGAGGGGUAACAGGAGUGCUUGCACUCGCUGACGACCGGCGCACGGGUGCGUAACGCGUAUAGAACUUACCUUUUACAGAGGGAUAGCCUUUAGAAAUGAAGAUUAAUACCUCAUAGUAUUGAGACUUGGCACCGAGUUUCACUUAAAGAUUUAUCGGUAAAAGAUGGCUAUGCGUCCUAUUAGUUAGUUGGUAAGGUAACGGCUUACCAAGGCAGCGAUAGGUAGGGGUCCUGAGAGGGAGAUCCCCCACACUGGUACCGAGACACGGACCAGACUCCUACGGGAGGCAGCAGUGAGGAAUAUUGGGCAAUGGAGGCAACUCUGACCCAGCCAUGCCGCGUGCAGGAAGACGGCCCUAUGGGUUGUAAACUGCUUUUAUACAGGAAGAAACACUGCUACGUGUAGCAGCUUGACGGUACUGUAAGAAUAAG
rnacentral:rRNA from 1 species